GGUAAAUAAUUGCCGAAGAGACAAUUGGAAACCUGGUCCAGGCGCUGAACUUUGCUUAGAUCAUUUUGAGGAAUCUCAAUUUGAGUCACUAUGCAAAGAUAGUUAAAAAACUAAGAAAAACUGCAGUACCAACACUCUUUAGCAUUCCAAAUCCACCACCAUCUGUAACUGACAAGAGGAUAAGAGAAGUAAGAUGUCCUAAGCCAAAUACUGAAGUGGAAACUCUACCUGCUUCAAAUGAAGAGUUGU
rnacentral:lncRNA from 1 species